rnacentral:lncRNA from 1 species
CUGCUUUUCAGGCAGAUCUGUGGACUCCUGAUCUUGACCUUGUUGAAGACAGAGAUUAUUGCGGACUAGGAUGAUCAGAGAAAGAUUCAUUGGGAAGGUGGGAUCUGAGUGGAAUCUUCACGCAUGGGCAAAUUUGGAUGGAUAAAGAGAAGGACAAGCAGCCAGGUCAAAGAUAGAGAGGAGCAGGCAUUGUAAGAAGCAAUAUUUUGUAUCAUAUAACUUUUCUACUCAAAAGACCAUUCACAGUCUGUAUCACUUAUUUCUCCAUAUCAAGUCACUCUAAAGUUUAGUAUCUUAAAAAUAAUAACCAUUGUCUAUUAUUUCUCAGUUUCUGAGGGUCAAGAAUUUGGGAGCAGCUUGGCUGGGCUUUCCUGACUGAGGGUUCUCAAGAAGUUGCAGUUAGAUGAAGACUGGGGCUAUGGUCAUCUCAAGGGACCCUUUAGUCAGGCGUCUGGACUGAGAAAACUCAUAAGGCUGGGAGGGUUGCAACAGCUAAGGCUCCCUGGGCUUCUUUCUCUCUCUCUAUGCUGUCUUUUCCUAUGAUCUCCAAAAUAUAGUGGACUCAAAGUCACUGGGCUUCUUACAUGGUGAGUUGAGCCUCUAAAAGCACAUGUUCUGAGAGAGUGCACUAGUAGGAAAAGAGAAGCAGAGAGAAGGAGAAGCUAAAUAGUAGGGCGCAUGUGGCAUCUAACCAUGUAUGCAAGUGAAUAGGCAAAUAGUAGAUGGGCAAGGGAAAGUCAUGGCCUUUGGAAGUUCUUAAUUUAACUUUAGUCAAACACUAAGAGAUUAUUCAAUGCUUCCUAUUGGUCAACAAUAUGGAUUGUAUAGCACUCAGAAGAAUCAUCACAGAAUAUAUCAACUUCAAAAGAAAAAUGGAUGUUCAGAGAGAACAACAAACAUGCCUCAAGAUACACAGCUAGUAUGUGGUAGUGACAAGAAUCUAGCACAAGCAGUCUGAUUUCAGGAUUCUGUAUCCAUCAUUGCACAAUGUAACUUCAACCAUUAUCUCCAAAAAGAAAGAUUUGGGCCAGGACUGGAGACAAGGACCCCUCUUUGGAAUCUGGUCAUGACUCCUGGCUGCUACGGCACAACUACUCCUGAUGCCUAAAUAUGGAAUCAAUGAAGCACCCACUGAACUCAUUUCAGCACUUCAUCUUUUUCCCUCCAGAAUGGCUCCUGUGCUAAUUGCAUCUGCUUCCCUCUUUGCAUCACAAUGGUAGUUUCUAUUUUGGAUUUUUAUCGUCUGUUGCAGCUUUGAGAAAUUCUUAUUCUGGUUCUGAUCCAGCCUUGGCUAUGUUUCAAAGACGCUAAAACCGCUAGUGAAGCUGGCCUCAUUUACCUUCUGGCACAAGUAUGCAUCUUUCCCAGAGUGAAAAACAGACUCCGUACCCACCCCUUAAAAACAAGUAGACAAGAAGGAAAGAGAAGUCUUGCUAGACUAUACCAGGGGUAAAGUUGGCGAGGAAUAAAACAAAUUUUAAAUCAAAUUCCUGUCGGGUGAAAUUAGCUCAAAUGAUGACCUUCAGAUUUUUUUCUAUUUCCAAAAUUAGAAAUUUUGGAAUCUGCUAAUCACUGUUGUUGUUCUGUAGGAACAUUUUAGAGUUUACAAUUAAAACAUGAAUAAUUUUUCUUCCAUAGCACAUGUCAUCAGAGAUUCUCAGUGGCCUCUCCACACUGUGUAAAGAAAAGCACAGCAGACGUACUCAGCCAGCUGCCUCUGAGGUAUCCAGAGAAAGGCCUUCUACUUAAGUACCUGUCCUAAUAAGGGUAUUUUGUAGGACAUAACAAUUUUUUAGAUAUCUCAUUUAAUCUCUAUUAUAACUUUGUAGCACGAUAGUCUCAUUAUUCCCGUUAUGCUGAUAUGUCAAAUCAAGUGUCAAAAAAUCAAAUAAGCAAUGUAGAAUACUUAGAAUAUGGUUAUCAUAAGGACCACAGAGAAAACCAAAGGAGGGAAAAGGGAUCAGAUUUCAGGUGAGCUACAUGUGAACACUCCAACAGCUGUGUAAGACACUUCCUCAUUUCUGAAAGGUCCAGGCCCUAAGGAGAUGCUGAGAAUUGUAUCCCUCUAAUAGAAAGUAAAAUCACCAUGUUCAAGGUAGAAUAAAUGGCAUAGUAGUAAACAUUGCUUAGGUGAAGUCCAAAUCUCUAGACUAGAGUGAAAUAGUAGAUCACACUAGAAAGAAUAGUUUGGUCCAGAUCACAUAUGACCCAAAAAAUUAGGUAGAAGAUUUUAGAUGUGAUUUAAUAAGUAGAAGAGUGUUUUAAAAAUUGAAAUCAUUUUAGGAUAACUCCUUUGGAAUUAUUUUUCAGAAUGACAAGAAGGGGACAAAGACUUCAAGUGGGAAAUUUAGAAGUUUGCAAUGGUUCACCUCUAAGAUAAUAAAGUUUUAAAAAGGGUAGCAUAAUGGAGACAGAGAUCCACCAUGAAGAACAUGUUAAAAGUCCUUUGGCAAUUGGUUAUUUGUGGGUAAACAGCAUGAGGGUGAACACAGAUAAACAAGGGUUUACCUCAAAUAGCUAGAUUUAAGAUGAAACUAAUGAUGUCUAAGCUUCAGGGCUUCUCAUUUGCAUAAAACCCUUCUAAGCCCCUGGCAGGGCUCCUACUGGUAUGAACAAGUGUUUCAAUUCAAACUAUGCAUCCAACAAAGGACUAAUAUCUACAAGGAACUUAAAUCAGCAAGAAAAAAAAUAAUAAUCCCAUUAAAAAGUGGGCUGAGGACAUGAAUGGACAUUUCUCAAAAGAAAAUAUACAAAUGGCCAACAAACAUUUGAAAAAAUGCUCUACGUCACUAAUCAUCAGGGAAAAUGCAAAUGAAAACCACAAUGAAAUACCACCUUACUCCUACAAAAAUGGCCAUAAUUAAAAAGGCAAAAACCAAUAGAUUUUGGUGUGCAUGUGGUGAAAAGGGAACACUUCUACACUGCUGGUGGGAAUGUAAAUUAGUGGAACCGCUAUGGAAAACAGUAUGGAGAUUCCUUAAGGAGCUAAAGUAGAACUACCAUUUGAUCCAGAAAUUUCACUACUGGGUAUCUACCCAAAGGAAAAUAGGUAAUUACAUGAAAAAAAACACAUGCACACACAUGCACAAUUCAAAAUUGCAAAGAUACGGCACCAUCCUAAGUGCCCAUCAACCAACAAAGGGAUAAAAAAAACCAAUGUACACAUAUACAUAUAUACACACCAUGGAAUACUACUCAGCCAUGAAAAUGAAUGAAAUGAUGUCUUUUGAGGCAACUUGGAUGGAACUGGAGGCCGUUAGUCUAAGAGAAGUAACUCAGUAAUAGAUAAAUAAAUAAAUAUAGUAUAUUCUAACUUCUAAGUGAGAACUAAGCUAUGAGGAUGCAAAGGCAUAAGAUGAUAUGAUGGACUUUGGGUACUUGGGGCAGAGGAAGGUUGGGAGAGAGGUAGGGGAUAAAAUACUACAUAUUGGGUACAGUAUAUACUGCUUGGUUGAUGGGUGCACUAAAAUCUCAGACAUCACCACUAAAGAACUUAUCCAUGUAACCAAAAACUAUCCCUACCCCCAAAAACUAUUGAAAUAAAAAUUAAAAAAAGAUUUAACCCCAUCUCCCCAAAAGAACACGUGUUGCAAUUGAAAGGGCAUUUAAUAUUAGUCACUUCGAAAGAAAAUAUGAAAUUCAGUGAAAGAACUUUGACAGAAGUUUUUCAGGUUUGACAAAAAUUUAUAAAACUUUUAUAACAUAUCCAUGAAUUAAGAAGCUGAAAAGACUCUAAUAAGCUAUUAAUAUCAACAACAAACUGCUAUUAAUAAUGCUAGAAAUAAGACUAGGAAAGAUAGAUAGAUAGACAGACAGAUAGAUAGAUAGAUAUUUUAUACAGAGAACACAAUGUAAGAAAAAAUACUAUAGAGCUG